rnacentral:rRNA from 1 species
AUUGAACGCUGGCGGCAUGCCUUACACAUGCAAAGUCGAACGGCAGCAUGGAGGAGCUUGCUCCUCUGAUGGCGAGUGGCGAACGGGUGAGUAAAGCAUCGGAACGUACCGUGUAGUGGGGGAUAACGUAGCGAAAGUUACGCUAAUACCGCAUACGCACUGAGGUGGAAAGCAGGGGAUCGCAAGACCUUGCGCUAUACGAGCGGCCGAUGUCAGAUUAGCUAGUUGGUAGGGUAAAGGCCUACCAAGGCGACGAUCUGUAGCGGGUCUGAGAGGAUGAUCCGCCACACUGGGACUGAGACACGGCCCAGACUCCUACGGGAGGCAGCAGUGGGGAAUUUUGGACAAUGGGCGAAAGCCUGAUCCAGCCAUGCCGCGUGAGUGAAGAAGGCCUGGUGUAGNUCUUCGUCUGGAGAA